UUACACCAUCAUUUUUGAGCUUAUCAUGUUUAUUUUAGACAGUAGAAGUAAAGAGAAUAAUGAAAAUGUAGUCACCGAUUUUACUACUUCUCAAUUAGUAUCCUUAACAACUUCAACACAGUCGCAAACUUCAACCGUUGCAAAUCCAAAACAGUUGGCUACCACUGGGGCGCUCUCAUCAUCUACGGCUAUAUCUAGCGGGCAUUGGCUGCCAUGGACCAUGUGAACGAUAUGUUCAUCAACUUGUGGAGGAGGUAUUCGAGAAAGACAUAGGUCAUGCUAUCAGAUAUUUGACUGAAACGGCAACUUCAAAGAAAUACAACGAUGUUCCGAAAACCAGUGCCCAGUGUAUGGAAGUUGGUCUAAAUGGACACCAUGGACAAGUUGCGAUACGUCUUGCGGAAAAGGUCUCCAGAGACGCUCAAGAACAUGUUCACAAAAUAAUGCAGCAGAUAUUGACUGUGUAGGAAAAAGUACAAACGAGAAAACUUGCAGCUACGGUGCAUGUCCAGAUUGCUCGAUGACAUGCAAAUCUGGCAAGUUGAAUACGGAAUGUAACAUGUGCUUCUGCAGUCAGAUACUGUCGGGACAAGUUGUAUCAGCGCAUAAUGGACACUAUGCACCAUUACAUAAUGUACGUCUUUAUAAAAGCAAUUUUAUAGGCAGCAUAUUAACAGCAACUGACAAUCUUGGGCAAUUUAACCUUUCCAAUGUGUGCCUUUAUGCUGUCAUACGUUUUUCUAAAGAAGGAUUUGUUGAUAGAUUUGUUGAAAUUGACUCUGCAACAACGAAUAUAACACUGGAAAAAGCAGAACUACCUUACAUUACGAUGGAGCCUCAUACAAAAUCAAGAGUGGUUGGCGACAAUGUAACGCUGUGCUGCUCAGCAUCAAGAGCUUCGAAUAU